UGACAGUCGACGGCAGCACGGGGGCAACCCUGGUGGCGAGUGGCGAACGGGUGAGUAAUACAUCGGAACGUGCCCAGUCGUGGGGGAUAACUACGCGAAAGCGUAGCUAAUACCGCAUACGAUCUAUGGAUGAAAGCGGGGGAUCGCAAGACCUCGCGCGAUUGGAGCGGCCGAUGGCAGAUUAGGUAGUUGGUGGGGUAAAGGCUCACCAAGCCGACGAUCUGUAGCUGGUCUGAGAGGACGACCAGCCACACUGGGACUGAGACACGGCCCAGACUCCUACGGGAGGCAGCAGUGGGGAAUUUUGGACAAUGGGCGCAAGCCUGAUCCAGCCAUUCCGCGUGCAGGAUGAAGGCCCUCGGGUUGUAAACUGCUUUUGUACGGAACGAAACGGUGUGGGUUAAUACCCUGCGCUAAUGACGGUACCGUAAGAAUAAGCACCGGCUAACUACGUGCCAGCAGCCGCGGUAAUACGUAGGGUGCAAGCGUUAAUCGGAAUUACUGGGCGUAAAGCGUGCGCAGGCGGUAAUGUAAGACAGAUGUGAAAUCCCCGGGCUCAACCUGGGAACUGCAUUUGUGACUGCAUUGCUGGAGUGCGGCAGAGGGGGAUGGAAUUCCGCGUGUAGCAGUGAAAUGCGUAGAUAUGCGGAGGAACACCGAUGGCGAAGCAUCCCCUGGGCCUGCACUGACGCUCAUGCCCGAAAGGGUGGGGGAGCAAACAGGAAUAAGAUACCCUGGUAGUCCACGCCCUAAACGAAUGUCCACCUGGUUGUGGGUCCU
rnacentral:rRNA from 1 species